rnacentral:rRNA from 1 species
CUACGGGCGGCAGCAGUGGGGAAUAUUGCACAAUGGGGGAAACCCUGAUGCAGCGACGCCGCGUGAAGGAUGAAGGCUUUCGGAUCGUAAACUUCUUUGAUCGGGGACGAAUAAUGACGGUACCCGAAGAACAAGCCACGGCUAACUACGUGCCAGCAGCCGCGGUAAUACGUAGGUGGCAAGCGUUGUCUGGAUUUACUGGGUGUAAAGAGCAUGUAGGCGGGAAUACAAGUCAGAUGUGAAAUGCUGCGGCUCAACUGCAGCCCUGCAUCUGAAACUGUAUUUCUUGAGUACUGGAGAGGAAAGCGGAAUUCCUAGUGUAGCGGUGAAAUGCGUAGAUAUUAGGAGGAACACCGGUGGCGAAGGCGGCUUUCUGGACGGUAACUGACGCUGAGAUGCGAAAGCGUGGGGAGCAAACAGGAUUAGAUACCCUGGUAGUC